CAGAGGUGGCAAGCGUUGUUCGGAAUUACUGGGCGUAAAGGGCGCGUAGGCGGCCUUCUAAGUCAGACGUGAAAUCCCCCGGCUUAACCUGGGAACUGCGUCUGAUACUGGGAGGCUUGAGUAUGGGAGAGGGAUGUAGAAUUCCAGGUGUAGUGGUGAAAUGCGUAGAUAUCUGGAGGAAUACCGGUGGCGAAGGCGGCAUCCUGGACCAUUACUGACGCUGAGGCGCGAAAGCUAGGGGAGCAAACGGGAUUAGAUACCCCGGUAGUCCUAGCCCUAAACGAUGAAUACUUGGUGUGGCGGGUAUCGAUCCCUGCCGUGCCGAAGCUAACGCAUUAAGUAUUCCGCCUGGGGAGUACGGUCGCAAGGCUG
rnacentral:rRNA from 1 species